GCUGGUAUGUUCAAGAAAUGGAAGUGUGUAUUCAUUCGAAAUGGUAAGUUUCAGUGUAAACUUCGUAGCAGUAUGCAUGCCAGGUUUUAUGCUUUUGUUGCUGGUAUUUUUCAAAUUAAUAUAGAUGCUAGUCCUUUUCUUCAAUGAAUUUGAUGCCCGUGUUUAGAAUGAAGCUCAUAGUGGAAUCCUGGGCCACAGGGAACGGUUUGUUCUCUGUUGACUAACAAUUUCCUGAAGUCAUAGCACUUAAUUAUUAUUAUUUUUUAUUUCUUUACAUUGGUAUGCUGAAAUCUCCUGAAUCAAGUCAUCUUCAUGGUGUGUUUUUUCCAUGGAAUUGAUGGGUUUCUAGCUAUAUGACUUAGGACCAUGGCAUUUUUAUAAUAGAAUACAUGGAUCAACUUGGGCAUGUAAGUUGAUGUGUAUCAACACACAACUCAGAGCUAAGCAAAUCCGGGUCCUUACUGGAAUCAGAAAGAUAAAAGAGAAGUACAGUUUCGAGGAGCAAAAAAUAAAAGAAAAAAUUGGGUGUCUUGUCCUUUCUUUAUUGUUUAGGGCCUUGCCUUAACUCCAUAUUUCUGUAUUGUUUGCUUUAAAUGGCAUGUGGGUAACUGGUAAUAGCGGUUCUUCCCUGCUUGUGGGUGUUGAAUUUCCUAUUAAUUGGUCUUAUAUCUUAUCAGAAGAGGAACUUACAUCUUACCAGAAGAGGAAACUAUCUCUUAAAAAGAGUAGCUUCAUGAUCAAUUAUAAAAUGGAAUUGAAAUAUUUCAAUUUGUUUAUGGUAUUUGUGUUGAAUAAUCAUGUGAUCACUGAAGUUCUCAUUUUCUCAAUCUUUUCCUUGUAUCCUUGUUAAUUUUUUAUAUAUUCAUGAAAUUAAUUGUAUGAUCUGACAUCAUUAAUUCUGCAUAUAUUCAAAGGAAUUAUUUCCAUUUGGAAAAUGGAAUACUGUAUAGAAACUUCCAGAAUGUUUUUACCUAUUUGCUCUACUUUCAUUGCCCUUUCUUGAUUCUGAGGUGUGUGUCAGGAAAAGGGAGAUCUACUCUGGGAGUAUAAUGUUGGAGAUCCCAUAACUGCAUCUGCUUAUGUUGAUGAGCACUUACAGCUGGUGUCUGACUCCUUCCUUGUGUCAGACAGGUAAAGAAAUCACAGUAACACUCUGUUUGGAUGGGGUGAUGGGAAGGUUAGGGGAGGUUCAUUAAAGUAAAGGUGAUGUAGAACAAGAAGAAUACAAGAAUCAAGAGAAACAAAUUC
rnacentral:misc_RNA from 1 species